GUGUACCCGUUGCCUGCUGAGGUCUCCUGUUAAUUUGUAGUUAAAAAGAGCCCCUGAAUCAUUGUAUUAAUUUCUCUCUAACCAGCAGCAGUUCCAUCGUGGGUGCUCAGCAGGGCCUGGUGCCUGUGUCACUCGUCCCGGGGAGCACAGGGACGAGGCCAUGCUGGGGUACCCCAGGGUACAGGCCCCCCAGUUCAUUUUGGAGGAGGAUCGCUUCUCCCGCUGCCUCCGUCCUGCUGCGGGGCUGGAAUGAAUAUCCUGAGAGUGACGGGUGUGCUCAAGUGUGAUCAGCCUGUGAGCAGAGCAGGGCCAGCGCUGUGUUGGGACAUUGGCCAAAUCCAGCCCUGCUCAAGUGCCACACCACAAGGUCUCAGCCUGGAGAAGAGCCCCAUCCCAGGCAGGGGACAUGGGAACACUGCAUCCCUUUCCCAACCAGGGCUGCUCAGGGGGCUGGGUUAUUUCAUGCUCAAUAGCACACCGAAAUGCUUUCCCUUCGGUGCACUGCUGACUGUGCAUUUUGGGGCUGCAGGAUGGGCAGAUGGUGCAGGGGGGACCCACACUCCCAGCACAUCACUCACAUCCAGAUUCAUGGAACAACCUGGCUCCCACUUCCAGGCACCUGUACAGCGGGGCCAGGUGUGCUGUCACUGCG